AUGCAGAUUUUCUGUGUUGCUGUUGUGCACAGGCCUGAGUCCAUCCCGUUCCUCCUGCUCUGACCUGUGUGCAGGCAGCUCUGCAGGGCCAGCUCCUCCCAUGGUGCAAACCAAUGUGAAGCCACUGAAAUGGAGAGAGAUGUUUAUCUGCUACCUUUGAGCUUCUUGCCCAACACAGAUUUCAGCCUAACAAGGGAAGAGAAGAUCCUUCCCAAGAAUCCAGAAGAAGCAAAAGUCUCCCAGCUCUGUCCCCUGUAGGGACACGGUGAUGGAUUCCCAGCGACUUCCCACAGGACUGCAGGGGAGCAAAAGCAGCCAGUGGUCAGUAAAACUGCUCAGGUGAGUGAGAGCUCUCC
rnacentral:lncRNA from 1 species